rnacentral:rRNA from 1 species
ACGGCGAGUGAAGCGGCAACAGCUCAAAUUUGAAAUCUGGCUCUUUCAGGGUCCGAGUUGUAAUUUGUAGAGGAUGUUUCGGGUGUGGCUCCGGUCUAAGUUCCUUGGAACAGGACGUCAUAGAGGGUGAGAAUCCCGUAUGUGACUGGUAGCCUAUGCUCAUGUGAAACUCCUUCGACGAGUCGAGUUGUUUGGGAAUGCAGCUCAAAAUGGGUGGUAAAUUUCAUCUAAAGCUAAAUAUUGGCCAGAGACCGAUAGCGCACAAGUAGAGUGAUCGAAAGAUGAAAAGCACUUUGGAAAGAGAGUUAAACAGUACGUGAAAUUGUUGAAAGGGAAGCGCUUGCAACCAGACUUGCAUGUAGCUGAUCAACCGGUGUUCUCACCGGUGCACUCAGUUGCGUUCAGGCCAGCAUCGGUUUCGACGGUUGGAUAAAGGCCUUGGGAAUGUAGCUCCUCUCGGGGAGUGUUAUAGCCCAGGGUGCAAUGCAGCCUGUUGGGACCGAGGACCGCGCUUCGGCUAGGAUGCUGGCGUAAUGGUUGUAAGCGACCCGU